rnacentral:rRNA from 1 species
GAUGAACGCUGGCGGCGUGCCUAAUACAUGCAAGUCGAGCGAACAGACGAGGAGCUUGCUCCUCUGACGUUAGCGGCGGACGGGUGAGUAACACGUGGAUAACCUACCUAUAAGACUGGGAUAACUUCGGGAAACCGGAGCUAAUACCGGAUAACAUGUUGAACCACAUGGUUCAACAGUGAAAGACGGUCUUGCUGUCACUUAUAGAUGGAUCCGCGCCGCAUUAGCUAGUUGGUAAGGUAACGGCUUACCAAGGCAACGAUGCGUAGCCGACCUGAGAGGGUGAUCGGCCACACUGGAACUGAGACACGGUCCAGACUCCUACGGGAGGCAGCAGUAGGGAAUCUUCCGCAAUGGGCGAAAGCCUGACGGAGCAACGCCGCGUGAGUGAAGAAGGUCUUCGGAUCGUAAAACUCUGUUAUUAGGGAAGAACAAAUGUGUAAGUAACUAUGCACGUCUUGACGGUACCUAAUCAGAAAGCCACGGCUAACUACGU